rnacentral:rRNA from 1 species
GACGAACGCUGGCGGCAGGCCUAACACAUGCAAGUCGAACGCUCCGCAAGGGGAGUGGCAGACGGGUGAGUAACACGUGGGAAUCUUCCUAUUGGUACGGAAUAGCUCAGGGAAACUUGGGGUAAUACCGUAUAAGCCCGAGAGGGGAAAGAUUUAUCGCCAGUAGAUGAGCCCGCGUCUGAUUAGCUAGUUGGUGAGGUAAUGGCUCACCAAGGCGACGAUCAGUAGCUGGUCUGAGAGGAUGAUCAGCCACACUGGGACUGAGACACGGCCCAGACUCCUACGGGAGGCAGCAGUGGGGAAUAUUGGACAAUGGGCGCAAGCCUGAUCCAGCCAUGCCGCGUGAGUGACGAAGGUCUUCGGAUUGUAAAGCUCUUUUGGCGGGGACGAUAAUGACGGUACCCGCAGAAUAAGCCCCGGCUAACUUCGUGCCAGCCGCCGCAGUAAAAC